AGAUUGAACGCUGGCGGCAUGCCUUACACAUGCAAGUCGAACGGCAGCACGGGAGCAAUCCUGGUGGCGAGUGGCGAACGGGUGAGUAAUACAUCGGAACGUGCCCAGUAGUGGGGGAUAGCCCGGCGAAAGCCGGAUUAAUACCGCAUACGACCUACGGGUGAAAGCGGGGGAUCGCAAGACCUCGCGCUAUUGGAGCGGCCGAUGUCAGAUUAGGUUGUUGGUGGGGUAAAGGCCUACCAAGCCGACGAUCUGUAGCUGGUCUGAGAGGACGACCAGCCACACUGGGACUGAGACACGGCCCAGACUCCUACGGGAGGCAGCAGUGGGGAAUUUGGACAAGUGGGGGCAA
rnacentral:rRNA from 1 species